rnacentral:rRNA from 1 species
AUGUGUGCAUUCGCACCGACCAGAAAGAGCGAGAUGUAUGCAUACUCUACAGCCCUACAAAGGUACCGUAAGCUAAGGAAUUUUAGUCACACAACAUGUUUCAAGGCAUGCCACUCUGAUGAGGCGUUUCAGCAUCUAAAAAGGGGUUUGGAAGGACAAGAUGUUUGCAAGGGAUCAACAAGUGAACAAGCUGAUAGCAAGGGAUCUACUAAUGCUCAGGGUAACAGCAUUAGGUUUGGCCCGUUGAUGCCACAAUCGGCUAACCUUGAUGGUGAAGGUUUCGAUAAGGUUCUGAAUCCCGUGCAUGUGCCAGGCCGAGGUGCUCCGAAGAAAAAGGUACAUGCAAAGAUGAAGAAAACAAGAACAAAUGGUAGAUGUAGCUAUUGUCAUGAGGCAGAUGGUCACAAUCAACGAUCUCAAAGCAAAACAUGGAUAGCUACAACAUUGUGCGCACGGUCGGACAGCAAGUAUGUCGACGAUCAACAUGAUGUUGGCGUGUGCAUUGUUGUCUAUGUCUAG